rnacentral:tRNA from 1 species
GCCUGGGUGGCUCAGUCGGUUAAGCGUCCGACUUCAGCUCGGGUCAUGAUCUCACGGUCCGUGAGUUCGAGCCCCGCGUCAGGCU